rnacentral:lncRNA from 1 species
GAAUCUUUACAUUGCCAUCUACCAACUACUCUCGCAUGCUCGGGUCAUUAGCUCCCCUGAUCAUUUUAAUUCCACGUGCCUCAUUUCUUCCAACCUUCCAACUUGCCUGGGAGAGUCAUCAGACCAAUAAGACAUCCAGCGAGGCCCACAAGAACAACGGACAACAUCGCUACUGCAGAAAUAGACCAGAAAAUUAAUUGCCAAGAUGUUCUGGUUCAGAGCUGUGACCCUGUCAUUGAUCUUUUUCUCUUUUGCCAACAAGAACCACCGACAGCUGGAAGCCUGGCUCAGA